rnacentral:lncRNA from 13 species
GAAAAGAGAAACACAUGUCUAAAGUGAUUCUUUGGAGUUAAUAUCAGAAGUGCCAGAAGAUCAUCUAAUAUGCAGUUCAUCAUGUAGUGAUUUGAACAGCAUUUGGGAGCCUCAUGUGACUUCAUUGAAGGAACACCUAUAAACAAACACUGCUUAAAGUGUUUUGCCUAUGAGCUAACAAUGUCAGUGAUGUCUACAGAGAGCUAAAGCCACUCGAAGAAUCCACAGCAACUUCUUUUGGUCAGUGAACACAGAAAUGGAGUAUCUCCACGUUGGCCAAGAUGGUCUCAGUCUCCUGACCUUGCGAUCCACCCACAUCGGCCUCCCAAAAUGCUGGGAUUACAGACGUGAUCCACCAUGCCCAGCCAGCCAUUGUUUAUUAUGGCAUUCUCAGGGUGAAAUUCAACAGAACUGCUUUACAGUGAAGGUCUUGAAGCCCACAAGAAACAUUCUUCUGGACAAAUUAUCGGGAGGUCAAGAGAAGAAUGCAUUUGCCAGACCAAUAGCUGCAUAUCAAGUGCCAGAGGAUGUGGUAAAUUGCUCAAGCAAUGAAACCGGUUCUGGUACCGGAGCUGCAAUUGGCAUCACCACCUGGGACUUUGCCAACAAUGUUGAACAGAGUGGUCUAAAGGUCAACACCAGGUGGACGCUAUCAAGCCUUGGGGCUUGCAUCCUUUAA